GCUUACGGCCAUACCACCCUGAGAACGCCCGAUCUCGUCUGAUCUCGGAAGCUAAGCAGGGUCGGGCCUGGUUAGUACUUGGAUGGGAGACCACCUGGGAAUACCCGGUGCUGUAAGCU
ensembl:rRNA 5S_rRNA 5S ribosomal RNA